rnacentral:RNase_P_RNA from 1 species
GUGGGUGGAAGCUCAUCAUAGAGGUCACAUGCAGGGCGCUUGUCACUCAACCAAUCACCUUGGGGAAGGUCUGAGACAAGAGCCAAUCACUGCCCUAGCAGGGUAUCACCUGACCUGGGUGAGUGAGUGCACAGAGAAUAUGGGCCAUUGUGAGUUGUCUUUACAGGAGAAACCAGCCAGAGCAGCUCUCCAGCACUACUGGUUGAUGUGACCUCACUGGCUUGGAAACACUCAUGGCUGGCAUAUGAGCGCAAUGUUGGAGUACUCCUCCAGAACCCAAUUCAGACUACUCUCUGCCCAC